GGACUGCGCCGACAUCCCAACUUCUCCAACAAUAGGACUUCUGCAGUAACCAGACUCCAUCCAAGUUUCUACAGUGGUCGAUCACCUUCUGGAUUUCAUCCGGGCUCCAACAAGAGUCGGAUCCCGAUCGAACUUCUACAGCGGAUGGAUUUCAGAUGAACUCCUACAACAGACGGGCUCCACCAGCCGGAUCUCUACUCCGAACUUCUUCCAGACUUCAUCAAUGACCGAUCUUCUCUAGUAGUGGGACUUCUACAAUAAAAAGUCUCCAUCUGAACUUUCAUGAUAACUGGUCUUCGUCCGAGCUUCUACAAUAAGAAGUCUCCAUCUGAACUU
rnacentral:lncRNA from 1 species